rnacentral:pre_miRNA from 1 species
CAACAUCUGCAGCCUGAGCGGCCCCCAGGCGGCACUGGGCAAGUAUCUCUUCUAAAGGCUCACCCUCAAGUACGACUAGGAGC